rnacentral:rRNA from 1 species
UACGGAGGGCGAGCGUUAUUUCGGAAUUAUUGGGCGUAAAGGGCGCGUAGGCGGUCCGACAAGUCAAAGGUGAAAUCCCUCGGCUCAACUGAGGAACUGCCUUUGAAACUGUCGGACUUGAGUCCGGGGAGAGGGUAGUGGGAAUUCCCCAAUGUAGCGGGUGAAAAUGCGUAGAUAUUUGGGGAGGAAACACCCAGUGGGCGAAAGGGCGGCUACCCUGGGACCCGGGAAACUGGACGCUGA